rnacentral:rRNA from 1 species
GGACUGACCCCUUCCGUGCCGCAGUUAACACAAUAAGUAUUCCACCUGGGGAGUACGACCGCAAGGUUGAAACUCAAAGGAAUUGACGGGGGCCCGCACAAGCAGUGGAUUAUGUGGUUUAAUUCGACGCAACGCGAAGAACCUUACCAGGAUUUGACAUCCAACUAACGAAGUAGAGAUACAUUAGGUGCCCUUCGGGGAAAGUUGAGACAGGUGGUGCAUGGUUGUCGUCAGCUCGUGUCGUGAGAUGUUGGGUUAAGUCCCGCAACGAGCGCAACCCCUAUUGUUAGUUGCUACGAAAGAGCACUCUACCGAGACUGCCGUUGACAAAACGGAGGAAGGCGGGGACGACGUCAAAUCAUCAUGCCCCUUAUGUCCUGGGCUACACACGUAAUACAAUGGUGGUUAACAGAGGGAAGCAAUACUGCGAAGUGGAGCAAAUCCCUAAAAGCCAUCUCAGUUCGGAUUGCAGGCUGCAACUCGCCUGCAUGAAGCUGGAAUUGCUAGUAAUCGCGGAUCAG